AGUGCCUGCGCACCCCCGCAUCAUAGAAUACGCUUCACCUCGUUAGUCCCUAAUGGCCGCCAAGGAGGAGAGAAACCCAUCUGCCCACAACAGCAUGCCCAACUCUGCUUCCUCAUUGGAAGGUGUGUUGGUGGGAUCGAGGUCUUUGAAGACAAAGCUGUCCGGAAGUAAUUUUCCAUGGCCUCGCUAAACUCCUCCCACACCUGAGUUUUUACCUCGACGACCGCCGAAGCCGCAUUCCAACAUUUCAUCAACGCUGUCCACCAGCGGGUUCGGGGAUUGCUGCCACAACAGGCCACAGCUCCAGUCAGCUGCCUCCACAAUGGAGGCAUGGAACAAGGCCCAUUCGUACUAGUCAGUCCCCUGCGUCCUCCAGGACAUGGGAGAAGCUCUGCUGGAGAUGGGAGCUGAAUCUUCUCCUGACAUUGCAUACUUAAAAUAAAGUUUUCUUUUUCAUAUUA